GGAAUCUUCCACAAUGGACGCAAGUCUGAUGGAGCAACGCCGCGUGAGUGAAGAAGGCUUUCGGGUCGUAAAACUCUGUUAUUGAAGAAGAACGUGUGUGACAGUAACUGGUCAUGCAGUGACGGUAUUCAAUCAGAAAGUCACGGCUAACUACGUGCCAGCAGCCGCGGUAAUACGUAGGUGGCAAGCGUUGUCCGGAUUUAUUGGGCGUAAAGCGAGUGCAGGCGGUCUUUUAAGUCUGAUGUGAAAGCCUUCGGCUUAACCGAAGAAGGGCAUCGGAAACUGGGAGACUUGAGUGCAGAAGAGGAGAGUGGAACUCCAUGUGUAGCGGUGAAAUGCGUAGAUAUAUGGAAGAACACCAGUGGCGAAGGCGGCUCUCUGGUCUGUAACUGACGCUGAGGCUCGAAAGCGUGGGUAGCAAACAGGAUUAGAUACCCUG
rnacentral:rRNA from 1 species